rnacentral:rRNA from 1 species
CCUACGGGAGACAGCAGUGGGGAAUAUUGGGCAAUGGGCGCAAGCCUGACCCAGCAACGCCGCGUGAAGGAAGAAGGCUUUCGGGUUGUUAACUUCUUUUGUCAGGGAAGAGUAGAAGACGGUACCUGACGAAUAAGCUACGGCUAACUACGUGCCAGCAGCCGCGGUAAUACGUAUGUGGCAAGCGUUGUCCGGAUUUACUGGGUGUAAAGGGCGUGUAGCCGUGUUGACAAGGCAGAUGUGAAAUCCUGCGGCUUAACCGCAGAACUGCAUUUGAAACUGUUGAUCUUGUGUACGGGAGAGGCAGACGGAAUUCCUAGUGUAGCGGUGAAAUGCGUAGAUAUUAGGAGGAACGCCAGUGGCGAAGGCGGUCUGCUGGACAGCAACUGACGGUGAGGCGCGAAAGCGUGGGGAGCAAACAGGAUUAGAUACCCUUGUAGUC